rnacentral:lncRNA from 1 species
UAAAAUCUAAAGUAGAUGAAGCUUACUCACCUAUUAGCUCACCCGAUUUCUCCGUAUAUACAGUGAUUGCCACCUCCAGGGCAUACGUGAUAUUCCUGACCAGAGCUUGUUCUGGAUUGUUCUUGAUUUCUCCGUAUAUUCAAUUCUAGAACACCCAUUUCAAAGGGAAUCAGUAGUUGAGCAUGGGAGUAAAGCCGGAAGAGAGACUCCAAGUCACUGGACCAUUAGCCAAAGAGCUUCCUUCACUGCCCAAUCAGCAGGCACAAUACGAAGCCCGCCUUCCGCAAUGUUGAAUAGCUUAUUUUAGCGAGCAG